GAUUUUGGGGCAUUUCUUUCUUUCUCUCUCUCUCUCUCUCUCUCUCUCACACACACACACACACAGAGAGAGAGAGAGAGAGAGAGAGAGAGAGAGAGAGAGAGAGAGUCUUACCAU